UCCACGCACAUCGACCUUUUCUUUAUACCUCCUCUCGCCUCCUCUUCUCUCUCACACACAUAGCGCUCAGAAAUUUCAAGGGUUUUCUAUUGAAUACAAGCCCUGAUGAAAUUAGGGAGGAAAAAGACGAGGUGACGAAGAAAUUCAUUGGUCUGUCAAUCCACUGACAUUAUUGUGUGAUGUUAAUCGUGAAUCCCGACAGGUUCUGAUCGUCUCUCUUCCCUUAGAUCCAAGACAUUUAGUUCAACAUAUAUAUAUAUAUAUAUAUAUAAUUAUAUAAUUAUCAAGUAUGUUUAUGUUUUUAUUAUUUUGUUCAUGGGCAUAUGAUGAAUCUCAUAACAAAUGGGUAAUUUGCAUCUGAAUGUUUCUGUGUUGCUAAAUCACCUUGGAGAACUGAUGCUCUUUUUAUUUGCUCUUUUUAAUUUUUCUUUAUAGAUAAAUGUAUUUUUGUUCCUCUUUUAGCUUCUUUGUUAGAUAGGCAACAAAUAUUUUAGAUACCUCGUGGUGGCUCUUGGAGAGCAUGAAAAAAAAAAAAAAAAAACAAA